rnacentral:rRNA from 1 species
AGGCGGCAUGCUUUCACAUGCAAGUCGGACGGCAGCGAGGUGGUGCUUGCACCACUGUCGGCGAGUGGCGAACGGGUGAGUAAUGCAUUGGAACGUACCGAGUAGUGGGGGAUAACUGUCCGAAAGGAUAGCUAAUACCGCAUACGACCUGAGGGUGAAAGCGGGGGACUCUUUGAGCCUCGCGCUAUUUGAGCGGCCAAUGUCUGAUUAGCUAGUUGGUGGGGUAAAGGCCUACCAAGGCGACGAUCAGUAGCGGGUCUGAGAGGAUGAUCCGCCGCACUGGGACUGAGACACGGCCCAGACUCCUACGGGAGGCAGCAGUGGGGAAUUUUGGACAAUGGGGGGAACCCUGAUCCAGCCAUGCCGCGUGUCUGAAGAAGGCCUUCGGGUUGUAAAGGACUUUUGUACGGGAAGAAAAGGUUAAUGAUAAUACCAUUGACUGAUGACGGUACCGUAAGAAUAAGCACCGGCUAACUACGUGCCAGCAGCCGCGGUAAU